rnacentral:tRNA from 1 species
GAAGACUUAGUUAAAGUUAUAACAUUAGAUUGUCAAGCUAAAAUUAUCACUAAGAUAUUCUUCU